rnacentral:lncRNA from 1 species
UUUUAUUUUUCAUAUUUAGGUAGGUUGUGGUUUCAUACCGCGACCUUGUAAUGAGGAUUCUGUCAAAAAAUCAGGCCACCUGCAAAAGCUGCAAAACAUUUUGAAGGUUGUUUGAUACAGUGACCUUCUGAAAGUCGCGGAAUGAUAUCACAACCUUGUUUAAAGUCGCUGAAUGAUAAUACAAGCUUCAAGAAAGUUGUUGUUUCGUCAUACAAAGUCGCUGAAUGAUAAUACAAGCUUCAAGAAAGUUGUUGUUUCGUCAUACAAAGUUGCUGAAAGUUGCUGAAUGGUAUCACAACCUUGUUUAAGGUCGCAGAAUGGUAAUAGAAAGUUGCUGAAAGUUGCUGUUUCGUCAUACAAAGUUGCUGAAAGUUGUUGAAUGGUAUCACAACCUUGUUUAAGGUCGCUGUUUCGGAUUGCUUUGUUGCUUGUUUCAUUUUUUUAAUUUUUUAAGGAGUUUCUAAUGUU